CAUAUUCAAAGAAAAUUUCUUCCUUUAUUGACGUUUUCCAUGAAAAUUCAAUGAAUAUGUAAUAAAAAGUGUGCGGCCGAAAGAAAAUUACGAGAAAAAACGAAGAGGGUUUAAAAUGAAAACCGUGUAAUUCUUUUCCUUUAUUUUUCAUUAAUUGAAAAAUAUCUGCGUAGUAUAAAUAUUUUUAUUUAAUUUCUCUCAAUUUUUGUAAUUAAACCAAACUGCAACAUUUUUAAAGUUUGCAAAAGGAGAGAAGUUGUAUUUAAGGAAAACAGAACAAAUUUGCAAACUGUUAAUGAAAUGAUGUGAAACUCUAGAAAUGUGAAAAUUUAUUAGUUGAAAAAUGUGGAUAACCAAUAAAAAUAGAUUCAAAAAGAAAACCACCAAAAAUUGGAGAAAAUUUCGAAAAAUAUCUCAAGUGAUAAUUCGCAUAGAAUAAUAAGCGUAAUAAUAAUAAGUAAUAAAGUAAAUAUAAAUAAAAAAAUAUAAAAGUGACUGAUUUUAAAUUCUGCGUGUAAGAAAUUAAGAGUUUCUUUAUGAACAUGGACACUAACAAUGUUACAGACAGUGUUGGAGCUGAUAGAGUUGGUGAAUUAUCAUCCCGCAGUCUUCCCUCCCUGUUUGGUCUGUGUAAUAGCCCAGUUAGCACAAUGGCAGGUAAAGAUUUAGAUGGACUAAUUGCUUUGAACGAUAGUGCGUUGUCGCAGCAAAUUGAGUUUAUAUUGCAAGAUGCUACUAUGGAGCAAGAGGAUGAAACGCAAGAGUUAAUGCAACAGAAUCUACGACAGCAUAACGAAGUACGAAUAGCAAAAGAAACGGUGAGUGUUGAUUAUGAUAGUAAUUCUCAAGCAACCAGUAUGUCACCGACGACAGCAAUAAAACUUGAAACCCCACCGACUUCAACUACUCCUAUAACGAGCGCUUCCGAAUUAAGUCAAACCGGGCUAGAAGCUGAAUUUACACACAUCGAUUCUCCACAAAGCCAACAACAACAACACCAACAUCAUAAUCAUCAUCUGCUAAAUGGUCGUCGUAUAAUUGUGCGAUCUUCAGAUAUGAAUGAACUGACAGCUAUGAAUAUAAGUGCAGCGCAACAAUUAAUUCAUCAAGCAGAGGUGGAGGACCCGGAACUGAACGAUGAAAAUCUACAAGAUAUCGAAGAAGAAGCUAAGGCAGCUGAAGCGGAUGAAGAGCCCGUUCAAUUACAUAGCGCUCAAAUAAAGUUAGAGGAUUCAGAAAUGGUUGAUGAGGUGCUAGCGGAGGGCAACGCUAUGGAUUACAUUAAAGGAAGGGCCAUUAAUAACCAAACAGCUACUGCUCAACUGGUAUUUCCAGCUGGCUCAAUAGUGAGCACUGGUGGUACAACAAGUACACGCUCCAUAACUGUGCCCGUAUCUGAGGCUUUGGCUCAGUUGCAAAGGCGACCUGUUUAUAUAAGUAAUGCAAUAGGUAAUAUGCAGGGUACUUUGGUGCGUAUGCCGGCGGUAAUAAGCCGCAAUGGCUCUAUGGCGGUGCUUAAUGUUGUCCAACAAGGGGGAAGUGGCGUUGCUGGGACAACUACGCAACUUAUAUUACAAGCUACUCCUGUGGCAGCAAAUGGUACCUCCACCGUUGCGACUGCACCUAUGAUGGUGGCCGCUUCCUCGCAGACAAAUAAACUGACGGCUACUGGCAUAUCACCAAGCUCCUCUCCGACUUCUAAUGCAUCGCCAAUGAUGGUGACAAGUACUCCGACGAAUACCAAAAACAUCAUAAAUGGUUCACCAAGUUUUAAUAGAAUUGUAGCAAACACCGCCACAACACUGGCGGUAGCAGCACAAAGUAAUGCGAAUCCUUCGAUGAGCGCUGCCAUAUCACAACACAUACCACCAAACAAUAGUACUAAUAACUUAAUGACGAAUGGACAACACCUUGACACUCAUCCGAUAGCUUCGACGUCGGCAGCUGCCUUAGCUAAUCUCAAUGCUUUGCAUAGUAAUAAUACUUCUACAUCGGCAGCAUCUUACAGUAAUAUUUCGUCAGUGACGUCGUCGACGACUUCUUCCUCUACUUCAAGUGCAUCAGUAAACACAGCAACAACGUCUUCACAGCCAAUCUCGUCAGGAAAUGCUGCGGGAGCUACUGUUUAUCAAUGCGUAGAUUGUGUGGAGAAAUUCGAUUCCAAGGAUUUAUUUGAUAUACAUCGUUCCGGGCACGCUAACAAUAUGAAAUGCGCCAUUUGUAAUAUGGUUUUGAAAUCGUUGAAAAACUAUGAAAAGCAUUGUCUACGUUGUAAACCAUACGAAUGUCAAAUAUGCGGACGUGUAGUACGCUUUCGUCCCAAUUUUAUUAAGCACAUGCGCGUCCAUACUGGUCAGCAGUCGGAACGGCACAAGUAUAAAUGUGAAGUAUGUCACAAGGAAUUCAUGAGCUUUGAAUAUUUCAAAGUACAUAAAAAGAUACACAAUGAAAAUGUCAAUCUGACCUGCGAAAUAUGUGGUAAAGUGUUCAGUGCUCUUGCAUCAUUGAGAGGCCACUCUAAGCUGCAUUCAGGCGUCAAAUUGCAUAAAUGCGACGUGUGCGGUAAAGGUUUUGGUCAACGUUACAAUCUAAAAAUUCAUGCUCGCACUCAUACCGGUGAUUUUCCAUUUGAAUGUAAGAUUUGCAAAAAGAAACUACACACUCAGUCAUCACUGCAAAAUCAUAUGCAAGUGCAUCAGCGUGAUAAUCCCACACAGCAGUCGGUGUCAUCGUCAUCAACCACAGCUACAACUAUACGCUAUCAGACUUCAAAUGCUAAUAAUAGUACAGAUACAAGUACAAGUUCCGGCGGUACGAGUGCCCAAAAUUCGCCAACAUCAUCCACCGUGCACAAAGUUGAACAUCACUCAACUUCGAAGCUACGCAGUCACAGUGGACGCACUGUUUUACAAAAUCCACAAUCAUUAAUGGAGCUUGAUAUAAAGCAUGAUGGCCAUGGUGGCGGUAAUAUUGAGGACGGACGCGACAAUAAUAAUCGGGAUGAUGACGAUGAUGAUGACAAUUCCACCAUGAGUGAUGGUCAUAGUUUGGCUCAGCAAUUUCUAACGACACCGAAUGUCGGAAGAAAUGUUGUUGAUGAUUCCCUUUCGGAAUCGUCAAGUAACUCAUCGAAUGAGCAACAGAAGCUGCAACAAGAGCAACCACAUUUAAUGUUGGGCACACCGACGCGUACUAUAGUUAUCAAUAAUUACAUGCAAACAGAUCAAGAUGGUCACCAGCAACAACAACAACAUCAGCAAAAUCAUGCUCAAGUUAUACGUCAAAAUAGUAGCAAUAGCAGUAACAGUGCAUUGCAGCAGCAACUGAUGCGUAAGACUCCGAUAAUACAUUCGACCAAUGGUGUGUCGUCCUGCACCACUUUAUCAUCUUCGGUAGUGCAGCAUAUUGGCACUCCACCUUCACCAAAAAUUGCGGUGGCCUCGAGUUCCUCAACCGUUUUAGUUAAUAAAUUGGGCUCUGUACCCCUAUCAUUGGCUUCAGCCGCAGCAUUUGGAUCCUCAACAAUUAUACGUAGUACUCACAACUCGCAACAACAACAACAACAACAACAACAGCCCAUAAACCUUAAUAACAGCAAUAACAGUAAUAACCAGAACCAAACCCAGAACCACCAACGUUCGUAUCAACGAAAUAACCACCGAAACCACCACCGACGUCGCCAUCUAGCCGAUUUAGAUGACGAUGAUGAUGACGAUGACCACAUAAACGAGCAUAGAGUAAAUUUACAUCGUUCCCAUAAAGGGCGCAACUUCGAUGAUGACGAUGAUGUCGUAGUCGAUGAAAAAACCUCCCCGUCCUUGGCACUGACGGCCAUCAAAGUUGAACCGAAUUUAUAUUCAUCCGGUGAUAAUUCAAAUGAAAUGCUUAUCAAAGAAGAAGCCAUAUUCGAUGAUUCACCAACACCCAACUCACCACAAUCACCGCCCAGUUCACGGUAUCGUAUGUCUAAUUUUGAACACGAUUUAGAGCAUCACGUCGAUUUAAGUCAUUCAUUACCAACGUAUGGUUAUCUUUUGGAUCAUCACUCUAUACCGGACGGUAUACCCUCACAAUUGUACGCCGAUGAUGAUGAUUUCAAAUUAGAUCAUAGCUCAUUGACAGGUUUAAAUAAUAGUACUUCAUCGAUAACAACCGAUGGAGAUUACAUUAAGAAGGAAUGGUCAUACGGUACCGAUUCAGCAUACACUAUGAAUGGUAAAUUUGACGAGGAUAGUGAUGUUUUAUGUGAUGCUGCAAAUUUCAUGUAUAACUGAUUGGAGGAUAUACCUCCAUCACCGGUUUUGGUGGAUGGUUGAUAUGAAUUAAUAGAGGUUUAGAAUCGGAUAACAAUUCAAAAAGUAAAUCCAAGUAAACAACAUUAAAUGAAGCAAAUUUAUUAUUCUUAUUAUUUAGCUGAAAUAUGCUCCUAACAAAUGCCAACAUUAGCAAGUAUUCUUAUAUAUAUUAAAAAAAAAAACAGAAAAAAAAAAAAACAAAACAAGUGUGUGUAUGUGUAUAUGUUUAGAACGAAAUCAGUUUUCAACGUAACGGGAAGCGGUUUUAUUUUUUUCCGUUGGCAACUAAACUUCAAGUUUGAGUUUACAUUUGACAAAGAGUAUAAAAAGCAUAAUUUAAAAGGAAAAAAAAAAAAAAGGAAAAAAGAAAAAAAACUACUCCUCGCAUAAAACAAAAUAAACAAAAAUAUUUAUACAGACUAGCUACAAAGUCCAUCAGAGUAAGGAUCAAACGGAUUUGAGACUUCAAGCAGACAAAGGCAGAUCAAGGCAGAGAUGAAUCCUAAGUAUAUACACUUUCUGCGAUAAGCAUUCUUGGAAUUAUGAAGCCAAUAUUCUAUCCUCCAGAGGCCGGUAUAAAACAAGUUUUGAAAUAUUUUUCUCGUUUUUAACAAUGUAAUAAGAAGACGCCUAGUUUUGAGCGUAUAACAUGAGAAUUUUAUUGUCUAUUUUAUAGAAGAGUAAGUUAGAUUUUUUUUCCUUUUUUUAAAAUUUCUUUUAUUUACUUUUUUUAUUAUGUUAAAUUUUUUACUUUAUUUUUUCGAAGUUUUUUUAAGUCGAGAAUAAUCGAGAAUAAGAAAGCAAACUUUAUCGCCAUAAAGUUAAAAAAGCAAUAAGAAAAUAAUAAUAAUAAAUAAAUCAAUAAUAAUAAUAAUAAUAAUAAUAAUAAAAAUAAUAAUAACAAUAAAGAAACUGUGGACCAAUUGCACUCAAUUUAGACAUCAAAUCUUCAGUAACUUUUCAUAUCUAGCCUGGCAAUGUUAAUUAGAAUUUUUACUUUGAUUAAGUUUUCUCUAUCUCAGUACAAAAAGUUUUUCUUCUUUAUAUAUAAUAAGGUAACCGAGUUGUUUAUAAGAAGUGAUUUUAAUUAAUUUUAAAAAUCAUCGCCGGGAAAGCUUUACUAUUUUUGAAAAACAUGCUCUCAAUACCCGAUAAUGAAUGGUAUCGUAAAUCAUUUUAUGUCUAAGAAGCUUUUGCAUAUAAUGUGAUCUUUAAAUGAAAUCAAAAGCAAAACCAAUUUUACAUAAUUUUCUUAAAAAAAAAAAAAAUAAAAGAAAUAUCUCAUGUCUUUCUCAUCAUCGGGAAUUGUGGUCGAAAAGAGAUUAAGAGCAGCAAUAUUUUUAGUCUACCUUGCAGUAUGAAGUUCCCUUUCGGCUCAAGGUCUUCUCUUACUAAGCAAGAAAUAGUGGGUUAAUCGAGCGGGUACAACUUUUAAAUAUUUUUACAAUUAAUUUUUGCUUGAAAUUGUUGUAAACAAAAGAGUAAAUCUUCCCGGUGAAUAUAUCGUUCAAUCCAAAAAAUCAUAUAUAUAUUGGAAAUUUUUUUACAUGAAACCGCAAAGGGUCCACCCAAUACCAUGCAAAAAGUAAAGGAAUGUUUUUAGUAGAAAUAAUGCGACAUUUGGCUGUUUUUUUUAAUGGAAAUCACUCUCUUUUUUUUCGUUUUUAAGACUUGAGAUGCAACAGUCGCUGCCUUAUUGGAGGGUAGCUGCGUGGAAGUUAUGUGCAACACGAAGACCUUCUUAAACCGGCAGAAUUGGCAUUGCGUUUUUUUACAAACAAGCUUAAAACUUUAUAACAAAAAAAUCCCUGAAAAGUUGCGGGAGGAUUAUAAUAAUUAUUAAUCUUGUUUCGAUUUUUGUAAGACACCGUCGCAAAGUUUCAUUGGCGUUAUUAGUCAACCGUUGGAAAUUUAAGACAUUUCACCAAAUUUAAAAUAAACGUUAGGGUCGUCGGACAAACGAUACUCGUAAUCAUUGAAAAACAUGAACAGACUGAAGAUUGGGAAACAAUGACACGUUUAUCACUAAACGGCGAAAAAUAACGAACGCAUCUAUGGGUUUCAAUUGAGUGUUUGCCUGAGGUCGAAGUUGCAGGCAAAGUCGAUGACAUUUUAUUUGAUUACGGAUAUAUCCCUCUAGCCGCCAUACUUGUAAUUUGGGCAUGACUUGUGCCACUAUGAAAUUUUUUGAAGGGCGAAGGGCCGCUUCUGGUUAUCAAUUGAUGGAACAAAUACCGUUCCGGUCGCUCCAUAGGACCACCGUAAUAGAAGAAGUGUAGAAGUAGGCCUCAAUCAGGGCCUAGUUUACGGGACUCGAUAUCAUCGGGUAUGUACUCAAUUCCUCUCAUUCAUUGGAGAUAUAGACAACGGGGCAUUAAUAAUAGCAUUAGUAGUAUAUCAAUAACAAUAUAAAUUCAAAUAAACGACAAAGAGAAGAAGAAAAAAGCAAAUAAAUAAGCUUAACAAUAAUUCAAAUAAAUGAUUUCCAAUAUAUAUGUAGAUUAAGCUACCACGACUGAGCACUUCUUGGCACAAUUUACUAUAGAUAUUCCUUAGUAUAUCAAUCAUCUCAUCGCAAAUAAUCAUAUGGUUUUGCCAACGCAUUUUGCCAACGCAUUUUCCCUUUGAAUGCGGUACUCGACAGCGUUAUUGUUCUCGAGAAAUUUUCCGCUCAAUAAUGGCAAAAGUGCAUACUUUGUCGACUGUCGGCAAGCACGCUACUCAAUACACCGACACGAAAUGAAGAAAUUACGAUCGAGUUUAUUCGACACGGAGUUCCGUAAUUUGACGGUAGAUCUUGCAGCCUAUUGGCUGCCUGUAAUUACUUUCUAUAUACCUUGCCCAGUACAAGUGACUCUAUAGGUAGAUGUUGAUAUGAAUAUGUUCGUUAAAAUAGGAUUUGUCAUAAGUGAAGAAGAAGCGGGUCUCUUAACGAACUUUAUUUUCUCCAAUAAUUCCAAUUUUUCGUCGACAGUGAUUGUGCGAUUCACUUUUAUAUAAGAAAGCACAUUGUAGUGACAUUUGUAUUCCUUUAUCUUGGAUCAAUUCAAUAUCUAUCGGCGCUGGCGCAGAUAACUCAUCAAUUACAGAAAAUAUCUGCAAAUAUAAUCAUACCUUAUGUACUUUCUGUAUUUGUCAUGCUAGCUUAACUGAAUAUGGAAUUUUUGUUUAAUCCGCGAAGCAAUCAAAUAAAAAAAAUGGCAUGAUAUAUAUAUAUCUAUAUAUAUAUAUAUAUAUAUAUAUAUUUAUAUAUAUAUAUAUGCAUGCACGAGAAGGAUCUUAGAGAUCUAUGGGAUGGUAGAUUUAUACAAUCUGGCUGAAUCUCUUUUAUCCAGUUUACUUAUUAUCUACACACUACAAGGUUACCUAUUGAAGUGUCAUGUAUUAUUUUCUUAAUUUUUUUUAGUCAUUUUUGUGUCAGAUCACAGACUUAAUGCUUUUCGUAAGUCCAACGAUUUCAUUCUUUUUUUUUCUUUUUUCUUUCUUAAUUUUUUUUUUUGUUUUGUAAGAUUCGUUUUCUCAUAUAAAUCAUGUAAAGUUUGAAAGUGCAAUCAAAUUCCUCCCAUAAAAAACCGUUUAUUUAUCUCAAAUGUUAUGCGAAAUCAACUCGUCUUAAAAAAAGAAAGGAAAAAAAAUUAACUUAAAAAAAAAUAGAAAUUAAAGGUAAAAAGAAAAAAU